AUUCCAUUAUGUUUUCAAAUAAUUCAAAAUUACUUAAUGGCGGCCUAUACACACAGACAACAAUAAAUUGCUCUAAUUCAACUGCACUUAGUUCUAUAGUCCGUUCAACAGACAUGGAUACAAUGUCCUUACCAGGCGCUACACUAUUUAAUAUAAUUAAUGACCCACCAUGUAUGGAACUAAGUCUGGUGAACGAACUUCCCGCCUGAUGAUUAUUAAAUUGGGGCAUUAAUUCAUUAUUAUGUAACCAAUGUUCAGUAAGACAUAAAAUAUCAAUAUUAAAAUCAUUCAAAAAAAGUUCAAUCUGCAAAUUUUUUCCUCUAAUACAUUGAAUAUUUUGAUGCACCAGGUGGAUAUACUUUCCAUAUUUGCAGUAUUUUUCAUUAUAUUUAUUUAAAACUAAAUUGC